rnacentral:rRNA from 1 species
CAACCUACCCAUAACAGGGGGAUAACACUGAGAAAUUGGUACUAAUACCCCAUAACAUCAGAACCGGCAUCGGUUUUGGUUGAAAACUCCGGUGGUUAUGGAUGGGCAUGCGUUGUAUUAGCUGGUUGGUGAGGUAACGGCUCACCAAGGCAACGAUACAUAGGGGGACUGAGAGGUUAACCCCCCACAUUGGUACUGAGACACGGACCAA